UAUCUAUGGUGGCGACCGGCGCACGGGUGCGUAACGCGUAUGCAACCUACCUUUAACAGGGGGAUAACACUGAGAAAUUGGUACUAAUACCCCAUAAUAUCAUAGAAGGCAUCUUUUAUGGUUGAAAAUUCCGAUGGUUAGAGAUGGGCAUGCGUUGUAUUAGCUAGUUGGUGGGGUAACGGCUCACCAAGGCGACGAUACAUAGGGGGACUGAGAGGUUAACCCCCCACACUGGUACUGAGACACGGACCAGACUCCUACGGGAGGCAGCAGUGAGGAAUAUUGGUCAAUGGACGCAAGUCUGAACCAGCCAUGCCGCGUGCAGGAUGACGGCUCUAUGAGUUGUAAACUGCUUUUGUACGAGGGUAAACGCAGAUACGUGUAUCUGUCUGAAAGUAUCGUACGAAUAAGGAUCGGCUAACUCCGUGCCAGCAGCCGCGGUAAUACGGAGGAUUCAAGCGUUAUCCGGAUUUAUUGGGUUUAAAGGGUGCGUAGGCGGUUUGAUAAGUUAGAGGUGAAAUUUCGGGGCUCAACCCUGAACGUGCCUCUAAUACUGUUGAGCUAGAGAGUAGUUGCGGUAUGCGGAAUGUAUGGUGUAGCGGUGAAAUGCUUAGAGAUCAUACAGAACACCGAUUGCGAAGGCAGCUUACCAAACUAUAUCUGACGUUGAGGCACGAAAG
rnacentral:rRNA from 1 species